rnacentral:lncRNA from 1 species
CGAUCUUUUAAUAGACUUUACGAACUUCAAUUUGCCUUACGAUCUCUUAGCUGCUAGGAAAAUUGGAAGAAUUUAUAAAGAUAUUUUUUUUCUCAAUUUUACGAACAAGAUCUAAGAAUUAAUUUAGUUGAUGGAGCAAUAAGGGGGUAGGUCUGAGGAUCAACUGGUGAGGACAUUCAAUGUCUGCAUCCACUGCAUGUGCCUGGGAACGAAAGGGAACAAUCAAGGCAUGUCAUCGAUGGGGUGGUACUGAUAAGGGACAACGUACAUAAUGAACUCAGUCGGGAGUUACAGACGACCUAACUAAAGCAGCAGGAAACGAAACGGAACUGUAUCUGUAUAGAAGGAACUCAACUCUUCGGCUAUUGGAGGUCCUAAUAGGACUUUCAACACUUCCAUUUUUGAGUAUGG